rnacentral:lncRNA from 1 species
GGGAACCUCCCUCCCCUCCCAGGAGCCGCCGCAGCCGGAGCGACUCCCGGGCCCUGGGCCGCCGCGGGCCAGAUUGGAAGCAGGAGGAAAAGCUGAUGCAUGGUUCCCAGGAUGCUGAAGAGAAAGACAGGAGUGUGGAGGGGAAGGCAUGGCUUCCUUCGCUGCCUGGUCUGAGAGAUUGGAUCUACAGUGAGAGGGAAUACAACCAGAGAGGCAAAGCAUAAUCACUGACUGUAGAAGACAGUAAUGAAAUACGUAUAAGCAAAGACAAAAGAAAAACAUCCAUAAUUCACUAUCUCAAAGAUGUUCACUAAGUCUCCCAGACUGUCAGGCCUCUGAGCCCAAGCUCAGCCAUCAUAUCCCCAGCGACCUGCACGUAUACAUUCAGAUGGCCUGAAGCAACUGGAGAUCCGCAGAAGUGAAAACAGCUUAACUGAUGACAUUCCACCACUGUGAUUUGUUUCUGCCCCACCCUAACAGAUGGUUGUACUUUGUAAUUUCCCCUACCCUUAAGAAGUUUCUUUGUAAUUCUCCCCGCCCUUGAGAAUGUACUUGGUGAGCUUCACCCCCUGCCCCCAAAACAUUGCUCUUAACUUCACCGCCUAUCCCAAAACCUACAAGAACCAAUGAUGAUCCCACCACCCUUUGCUGACUCCUUUUGCAAACUCAGCCUGCCUGCACCCAGGUGAAAUAAACAGCCAUGUUGCUCACA